rfam:Myotis davidii contig119787, whole genome shotgun sequence.
GGUGGCUCUCAGGUGACACCCCCUGGAAUCGGGCUCCCUCCUCUCCGGGUCUGGGUGUGUCACCCGAGAACCACA